AUGGAUAUAUUAGUUUUGUGCUGGAUGCGUCUGACACCCAGAAGGAAGCGUAUUCGACCGCAUUAAGUAUGUUUGACGCCUAGUUCACAGAGACUUUAGAAGAGUUCGUCUCCUAGCGUACUGGAGUGAGAUAGAAAAACAGCUGACUUGGUGUGAGAAGUGAAAAAGAAAGAGAUAGAGAUAGAUGUGGAUGUAGCGGGAUAAGAAACCGUACUGGAAAAAUGGGGCUUAACGGGCUGCGACUUCCCGACUGCCUGCUUCCCGGCUUUUGGUUUCUUGGCGUUCGGUUUGAAUUCUAUUCGGAAUUCAAUUUCAUUAUUCCUUUAUAUUUAUAUUUAUUACUUCUUAUAACGCUAGGCAACAAAAUCAAACUUUGAUUUACGCUUCAGCCAAAUCAACUUUUCCUAAUAUAUUUGGGGCUGUAA